UUUCGCAAUGCCCGAAAGGGUGACGAAGCGACGCCGCGUGAGUGAGGAAGGCCUUCGGGUUGUAAAGCUCUGUCAGGAGUUAAGAAAUAUAAGUGUGCUAAUACCACAUUUAUUUGACAAAAGCUCCAAAGGAAGCCACGGCUAACUCUGUGCCAGCAGCCGCGGUAACACAGAGGUGGCAAGCGUUGUUCGGAAUUAUUGGGCGUAAAGAGCACGUAGGUGGGUUUGUAAGUCAGAUGUGAAAGCCUUCUGUUCAACGGAAGAAUUGCAUCUGAAACUGCGAGUCUUGAGUGUAGGAGGGGAGAAUGGAACUUCUGGUGGAGCGGUGAAAUGCGUAGAUAUCAGAAGGAACGCCGGCGGCGAAAGCGAUUCUCUGGCCUAUUACUGACACUCAGUGUGCGAAAGCUAGGGGAGCAAACGGGAUUAGAUACCCCGGUAGUCCUAGCUGUAAACGAUGGGCACUAAGUAGAGGGGUUUUA
rnacentral:rRNA from 1 species